rnacentral:misc_RNA from 1 species
AAUCUGAGGGAAGAACUAUAUACUACCACCUGGCGGAUGAGAGUGGGGAUGUAGAUGAUGAUAUUGUGGAGGCUUAUUCAUUGCAUUUUAAGGGAAAUGGCGUUGAUGGGUUGACUCAGAAAUUAAGGGAAGAGACGGGUCUUCAGGAUAUUAUUGUCUGUUCUCGUAGUCCUUUGAAUGGAAAGCUUUAUCCACUUCGAUUGCAGCUUCCUCCAAACAAUGCCGAUAUGCAUGUUAUUGUACUUCACCGUCGUAAUUGAGUCAUCGUCCAAAGUGGCCAAAGAUUUUGCAAACCAAGGAGUCGCAUUUUGACAUACAAUGGAGGGGACAGUCAUUGAAGUUUUGUUAUUUUUUCACAAUUAUUUCUUCUGUA